CACGUAGGUGGCAAGCGUUGUCCGGAUUUGUUGGGCGUAAAGGGAACGCAGGCGGUUUUUUAAGUCUGAUGUGAAAGCCUUCGGCUUAACCGGAGAAGUGCAUCGGAAGCUGGGAAACUUGAGUGCAGAAAAGGACAGUGGAACUCCAUGUGUAGCGGUGAAAUGCGUAGAUAUAUGGAAGAACACCAGUGGCGAAGGCGGCUGUCUGGUCUGUAACUGACGCUGAGGCUCGAAAGUAUGGGUAGCAAAC
rnacentral:rRNA from 1 species